UAUUACAACUUUCAACAAUGGAUCUCUUGGUUCUGGCAUCGAUGAAGAACGCAGCGAAAUGCGAUAAGUAGUGUGAAUUGCAGACUUUAGUGAAUCAUCGAAUCUUUGAACGCACAUUGCGCCCCUUGGUAUUCCAUUGGGCAUGCCUGUUCGAGCGUCAUUUACACCCUCAAGCUACGCUUGGUGUUGGGCGUCUGUCCCCGCUUCCCGCGGGGACUCGCCCCAAAUCCAUUGGCAGCGGCAUCGCCGGCUUCUCGCGCAGCACAUUGCGCUUCAGAAGGUUCCCGGCGGGCUCGCAUCCAGCAAGAACCCCCCCAGUUUGACCUCGAAUCAGGUAGGGAUACCCGCUGAACUNAANCAUAUCAAUAAGCGNAGGAA
rnacentral:rRNA from 1 species